GGAACAUGGUCAGUGGGCAUGGGCUGGGGUUGGACUUCGGGAUCUUAGAGACCAUGCACAGCCCGUGGCUGGGAGUUUCAUCACAGAGAAGCAGUGAGUGUGGAGCAGUGCAGUGGAAGAAGAUGAAGGAAUGAGGCUGGAGAAGACAAUGAAAGGCUUGUUUUACCCUAUUAGGAUCUCAGGUCCUUGCUGCAGUAUAUAGGCAACUUCACUCCCUCCCUGAUGCCGCAGUUAUGGAGCUGUCCUUGCCCAGACCACAGAGAUUGGCAGCAGGGGAAGAAGCUCCUCGAAGCCAACGCAGCAGCUUCCCUCGCUGCCUGAGGAUAGCCCUACGUGCACGCACACCCAGCAGCACAGCAAUGAAAUAAAGAUUAUUCACCAAACAUCGAAAUCUCUAAAGCUGUGGGGCUGAAAAGGCUGAAGAAGCCUUUGAGGAAAGCACAGUGAAUGUAGAGCUCCUUGGCACAGGUCACGUUCCUGUUCUCUUGC